UUGUGUUUGAAUUUCAGCCUCAUGGUUAAACUGCCACCUCAGCUGAAAGGAGCCAGGAGAGGGUGGCAGAGAACAUCACCCAGAGGAGACUGCCAUGCUGCUGUGGGUUAUAAGUGACCUUAACAGGAAACCUUGCUGUCUGUGAUCCUAACAAUGCAAUGAGAUUGUAUCCAGAUCAUGAAACACCUCAGCAUAGAAAUUGUGGUUCUAGACGUUUCCAUCAUAACUGGAUUUUCCUACUGAUGAAUAGGGAACAUGUUACAGUCACCAACCACAAGUGUUCUCUUUUCACUCCGUUUUGCUUCUUUUAGAUCCAUGGCAUUGAGAAAUUGAAAAAAUAACUAGAUCAUCUGAUCAACCCCAUAAGUUUGGUUUUUUUUUUUUUUUUGGUCUUAAAAUGGCCAAACAUUGAGAAA
rnacentral:lncRNA from 1 species